ACACACACACACACACACACACUCACACACAAUUAAUUAGUCUUCUAAUUAGAGUAAUUUUAAAACAAAAAAAUCGCAAUAAAAAUAAAUAAACAAACAGAAUUCCUUUUAGUCAGCUGAUUUAUUAGAAAAUCCAAAAGUGAAACCACUUUUUUACAUCCUUCUUGGUGUAUAAAUUCAGGCACCUCCACCACAGCCAGAGCCCAAGUCUCAGCUGGAGGUCAGAGUCAGCAGCUUACCAGGCUCUGGGAAGGAACCUCCUCUCCAUGCAGGGCUCUCUGGAGUGACCUGAAGACAGGAACUUGACCUCAAGGAAAUAGGAUCAUUGCAGUGAAGGGAAGGAGGCUAUUGCGAUGUGGAAAACAACCCAGCCAUAGAGCUGCAAGCAUCUCACAGGCCACGAAGAAAGGAACUGUCUUCACAGGGAAGGACCAACAAGGUCCUGCUGGGAAGAACAGAUAUUUACCCCGAAAGUGGGCUUGCUGGAUAAUUCAAUUUGAUAGACACUGGAAAAGGUUGGACAUGGCAAGAAGAGUCUAUGCAGCUCAUGAUUAGCACCAGAAUCACAACUCUUCAAACACAUAUUCUCUAACCACCUGAUGGAAAGUAGCCUCAAGUUACUCUCUGUCCUACUACCUGCUUAUUUCUUUCUUAGCGCUUAAUGCAAUCUGAAGUUAUUUUGCUUAUUUGAGUAUUUACAAGUUUAUGGUCUGCUUACUCCCACUCUCGAAGGGCAGGGAUCUAACCUAUCUUAUUCAAUUAUCCUACAGCACCUAGAGCAUUCCCCACUUUGCUGACAUCCCUCAAAAAUAUGUGUGGAAUAAAGACUGGUAUUUUAAACCUAUCUUUGCUAACCCUCAGAUACAUAG